GCUAUUCGCUGGUUAAAUCUCCCAAGUAUCCUCCUCCAAUCGCGAACGCCCAUUCCCGUGAAGGCACUAACUCUCACCAUGAGCUCCCAGGCGGCGGUCGAUUCUGAGAGAAACUCGAGAUGCAGAUCGGUGUGUUGUGCGAGAAGAACUUGUAAUUGUAGGGUAGGUGUGCUCUGUUAUGCAGCGGCAUAAAACAUGCCGGAAAUGGAGUGCAAGACCAAAAGCUUUUGUACACUUCAUGCCUGGAGGUAAUUCUUGCACUUUAAGACUGCUAUUAAGUAACAGGGUCAUAUUUGAGUAAAAGUUAAAUCGUUUGCUGCUUUUCAAAUUUUAGAAUGACAGUUUCACUUUCAUUUUGUUGUGAGCGACUGAUAUAAGAAACGUAUUGUGGCAUCAAGAGUUGGUUCUGCAACAUAAUGUACUCGUACUAGCCAGUGCCGAGGUCUGCAGCUUAAUUUAUGCAAUCAAGAAGCUGAAACAACAAUCUGAAGAGACGUGCUCC